rnacentral:rRNA from 1 species
GAUGAACGCUGGCGGCGUGCCUAAUACAUGCAAGUCGAGCGAACGGACGAGAAGCUUGCUUCUCUGAUGUUAGCGGCGGACGGGUGAGUAACACGUGGAUAACCUACCUAUAAGACUGGGAUAACUUCGGGAAACCGUAGCUAAUACCGGAUAAUAUUUUGAACCGCAUGGUUCAAAAGUGAAAGACGGUCUUGCUGUCACUUAUAGAUGGAUCCGCGCUGCAUUAGCUAGUUGGUAAGGUAACGGCUUACCAAGGCAACGAUGCAUAGCCGACCUGAGAGGGUGAUCGGCCACACUGGAACUGAGACACGGUCCAGACUCCUACGGGAGGCAGCAGUAGGGAAUCUUCCGCAAUGGGCGAAAGCCUGACGGAGCAACGCCGCGUGAGUAAUGAAGGUCUUCGGAUCGUAAAACUCUGUUAUUAGGGAAGAACAGAUGUGUAAGUAACUGUGCACAUCUUGACGGUACCUAAUCGGAAAGCCACGGCUAACAACGUG